rnacentral:rRNA from 1 species
GACAGAGGUCCCGAGCGUUAGGCGGAAUCACUGGGCUUAAAGCGUGUGUAGGCGGAUCGUUAAGUGCCUUGUGAAAUCCCAUGGCUUAACCAUGGAACUGCUUGGCAUACUGGCGAUCUUGAGCCACUUAGGGGCAACCGGAACAAAUGGUGGAGCGGUGAAAUGCGUAGAUAUCGGGAGGAACACCAGUGGCGAAGGCGACUUCCUGGCCUGUUCUUGACGCUGAGGCGCGAAAGCUAGGGAGCAAACGGG